rnacentral:rRNA from 1 species
AAUAAACGUUGGCGGUGCGCCUUAUGCAUGCAAGUCGAACGGGGUUAUGGUCUUCGGAUUGUAACCUAGUGGCGAACGGCUGAGUAACGCGUAAGCAACCUGCCUUGGAGUAGGAAAUAACUUGCCGAAAGGCGAGCUAAUGUCCUAGUGGUAAUGAAGCAAAUGCUUGGUUAUUAAAGCCUUAGGGUGCUCCUAGAGGGGCUUGCGUCUGAUUAGCUAGUUGGCAGGGUAAUGGCCUACCAAAGCGAUGAUCAGUAGCUGGUCUGAGAGGAUGGUCAGCCAGAUGGGGACUGGGACACGGCCCCAACUCCUACGGGAGGCAGCAGCAAGGAAUUUUGGGCAAUGAGCGAAAGCUUGACCCAGCGACACCGCGUGAGGGAAGAAGGCCUUCGGGUUGUAAACCUCUUUUCUUGGGGAAGAAUUUUGACGGUACCCAAGGAAUAAGCCUCGGCUAACUACGUGCCAGCAGCCGCGGUAAUACGUAGGAGGCGAACGUUAUUCGGAUUUACUGGGCGUAAAGGGAGCGCAGGCGGUUCCUUAAGUCAGAUGUGAAAUCUUCUGACUCAAUCAGAAGGCGUCAUUUGAUACUGGGGGACUUGAGAGCAACAGAGGGGAAAUGGAAUCCCCGGUGUAGCGGUGAAGUGCGUAGAUAUUGGGGAGAACACCAGUGGCGAAGGCGAUUUCCCAGGUUGUUUCUGACGCUGAGGCUCGAAAGCGUGGGGAGCGAAGCGGAUUAGAUACCCGCGUAGUCCACGCCCUAAACGGUGGACACUAGAUAUAGGAGGUAUCGACCCCUUCUGUGUCGAAGCUAACGCCUUAAGUGUCCCGCCUGGGGAGACGGCCGCAAGGCU